CCCUUCUAAAAUAAUCGAAUAUGUCAGGCAAAAUGACCCCAAAAAAUAAGGAAAGUCAACGGAGCACAGCAGACUCAUGUUCUAACAUAAUCGAAUAUGCCAAGCAAAAUAAUAUUUAGCAGCCGAUCAUUGAAUCUCGCAUCUUCCUCUACACCAACUUCGUACAACGAAACCCAGGCAAAAUUGUCUCGCUGUUGAGAGAGUUGGCAAAGUUCUUGCACAUUUCUCAACAAAAAAAUGGAGACUAGAUGACUAUCUACACAAAAAUGCUAUAACAAGACCCAAAAAACAAAAAGUUGCUGCUGCAGGAUCCUCUUCCCUGCUUUGAGCUGAU